UAGGGAAUCUUCGGCAAUGGACGAAAGUCUGACCGAGCAACGCCGCGUGAGUGAAGAAGGUUUUCGGAUCGUAAAACUCUGUUGGUAGAGAAGAACGUUGGUGAGAGUGGAAAGCUCAUCAAGUGACGGUAACUACCCAGAAAGGGACGGCUAACUACGUGCCAGCAGCCGCGGUAAUACGUAGGUCCCCGAGCGUUGUCCGGAUUUAUUGGGCGUAAAGCGAGCGCAGGUGGUUUAUUAAGUCUGGUGUAAAAGGCAGUGGCUCAACCAUUGUAUGCAUUGGAAACUGGUAGACUUGAGUGCAGGAGAGGAGAGUGGAAUUCCAUGUGUAGCGGUGAAAUGCGUAGAUAUAUGGAGGAACACCGGUGGCGAAAGCGGCUCUCUGGCCUGUAACUGACACUGAGGCUCGAAAGCGUGGGGAGCAAACAGGAUUAGAUACCCUGGUAGUCCACGCCGUAAACGAUGAGUGCUAGAUGUAGGGAGCUAUAAGUUCUCUGUAUCGCAGCUAACGCAAUAAGCACUCCGCCUGGGGAGUACGACCGCAAGGUUGAAAC
rnacentral:rRNA from 1 species